AAUGCUGAAAAGUCCAUUGCUGUUAGAGAUUAUUGAAGGACUACGAACUAAGAAAAAAAAAAGUAAAUUUUGAAGAACCUUAGAAUGAGCUGAGACUAUGCAGCAAAAUAAUGUUGGGACCAAAUUAAUUGGGUAAUGUUGGUGUUGGGGCUUUAGUGGGGCGGGUGCUACUUGGUUGCUGUCUCUGAGGCAUAGGAAAUUGCAAAGCGGGAAUUCUGAGGGGCAAAGGCAAAGCGGUUAAUAAUGGUGGCCAAGCAAAUUAGGAAAGAGCUUUCUCAUAUGCUUCCAGUUAGGGAAGCGUAUCAAGUUGCGCUUAACUCCUGAGGAUGACCAUGCUUUCCUAGCUCCACCUCACCACUUCAUAUUUUCAGGAUGACAAGAGCCAAAACAUCACCAAAUGAGGAUGACCAUGAUUGCGAUGGUGAAGAUCCUGAAGAAGGCAUCAUUUAUGUGGACUAGAUGCCUCCCUCUGUAUCAGUAUCACUAUUCUGCCUCUUUCAUAUUGACAAACCUUUCAGUGUUGAUAGUGAUUGCAAACACUUCACUAAAAUGCAUGCUGGAAAGAUGCUGUUCUAGUCUUGUAGUUGUGACAACAUUAUCUGAACACAAAAGACCUUGCGUUGUCUACCCCCAAGUGAUGUAGACCAAUUUUUGGGUUUUCUCUCCUUAAUCCUUAUAUGGCUUAACCCAGGAUGUUACUAUACAAGAGGACUUGCUGUAUAAAGUUCUUUUCCUUGCUUUAUUUCUGUAAGUCGAAUUUAUAAUGUUUACUACUGCUAUCCGAAUUUGGGGAAGC